rnacentral:rRNA from 1 species
UACGAACUGUGCGAACGUUAUUCGGAAUCACUGGGCUUACAGGGUGCGUAGGCGGCUCAACAAGUCAGGUGUGAAAGCCCCCGGCUCAACCGGGGAACUGCGCUUGAAACUGUUAGGCUCGAGUCAGCUAGAGGUACACGGAACUUCCAGUGGAGCGGUGAAAUGUGUUGAUAUUGGAAGGAACACCGGAGGCGAAAGCGGUGUACUGGGGCUGGUCUGACGCUGAGUGAGCGAAAGCCAGGGGAGCAAACGGG